rnacentral:lncRNA from 1 species
AAUUGCUCAUUGGUUGACAUUCAUGAUCCUUCCUUGCUCCCUCCCUCUGUAAACUCUUUACAGCUGGAACAGCGAGAUGCAAAAAUCCUGAGCCUUCAAAGCCAGCUCCUGCAGAAGAGAGAGGGCCUGGCAGCUGAGCUGGAUGCUUCAGGAGCAGAGGAUCUAUCAACUGCAGAUCAAGCAUAGGGAGACGCAGGCAAACCUGGAACAGUAACCCAGCCAGCUCCAAUUGCUCCGACAGUACUUGGUGGCCAGACAGUCGCCAGGCAGCAGAAAGCAUGCCCCGGGCCGUGAGGCAGGAAAUUGACUCUGACUCAAUCCUUGAGGUCUGCACGACCUGCUGAAUGCACAGUCUGAUGUCAUGAUGGACCUUUACUGUCAGCUUCAGAAAUUCUGGCUCAGCUGUGAAUAUGCUUAAUGAGUUUGCUCCCCAGAAACUUGUUCCUAUGAAAACAUGGUGAGUAUAUUUUACUCACUAUGUUUCACAAAACAGUUAUGUUAUGUAUGUAUUUUGUCUUCAUACCUACCAAC